GUCUACAGCCAUACCACCCUGAAUGCACUAGAUCUUGUCUGAUCUCAGAAGCUAAGCAGGAUCCAGCCUGGUUAAUACUUGAAUGGGAGAUAGUAAUUA
ensembl:rRNA 5S_rRNA 5S ribosomal RNA